GCAGAGGCAGGUGAGCCACAGGGAAAAAUUAUGGGUAAAAAGAUCAGAAGGACAAGGGAGAGACCUGACAAGGAGAAGAAUAAAGUAUUGGUACCACUGCUGCAGAGAGAAAGGAUGCUUCUAAGCUUCAGCCGCUUGACUGGGAGGACUCAGGAGAGCUAGGUUCAGUUCCUAUCUCUCCCAGAGAGAUCUUGGGUUUUAUGCAUGCCAGCCAAAUGAUUUGGAUACACUCCAAGCAAAGGCAAUGAAGAUUCAAAAAGAGGAGUACUGUCAAAGGAGCAAAAAGCAGACACAUUGCCAUUGCCUUCAAUAGUAUUACUAUUACCAUAGUGUUUUGCAGCCCUUGUUAUGGGUCAGGACCCCAUUGUGCUAGGUGCUGUACAAACGGAACAAAAAUACAGUCUCUGCCCCGAAGAGCUUAUAAGAGAUGACUGUGGUAUCA